rnacentral:rRNA from 1 species
GACGAACGCUGGCGGCGUGCCUAAUACAUGCAAGUAGAACGCUGAAGGAGGAGCUUGCUUCUCCGGAUGAGUUGCGAACGGGUGAGUAACGCGUAGGUAACCUGCCUGGUAGCGGGGGAUAACUAUUGGAAACGAUAGCUAAUACCGCAUAAGAGUAGAUGUCGCAUGACAUUUGCUUAAAAGGUGCAACUGCACCACUACCAGAUGGACCUGCGUUGUAUUAGCUAGUUGGUGAGGUAACGGCUCACCAAGGCAACGAUACAUAGCCGACCUGAGAGGGGGAACGGCCAAACUGGGACUGGGACCCGGCCCAGAAUCCUUCGGGAGGCAGCAGUAGGGGAUCUUCGGCAAUGGACGGAAGUCUGAACGAGCAACGCCGCGGGAGGGAAGGAGGGUUUCGGAUCGUAAAGCUCUGUUGUAAGGGAAGGAAGAGUGUGGGAGUGGAAAGUUCACACUGUGACGGUAGCUUACCAGAAAGAGACGGCUAACUACGUG